rnacentral:rRNA from 1 species
CCUACGGGAGGCAGCAGUGAGGAAUAUUGGUCAAUGGACGCAAGUCUGAACCAGCCAAGUAGCGUGAAGGAUGACGGCCCUCCGGGUUGUAAACUUCUUUUAUUUGGGAAUAAAAUGAGGCUCGUGAGCCCUGUUUUGUAUAUAUCAUGAGAAUAAGUAGCAUCUAACUCCGUGACAGCAGCCGCUGUAAUACGGAGGAUCCGAGCGUUAUCCGGAUUUUUUGUGUUUAAGGGGAGCGUAGGUGUAUUGUUGAGUCAGUUGUGAAAUUUUGCGGCUCAACCGUAAAAUUGCAAUUGACACUGGCAGUCUUGAGUACAGUAGAGGUGGGCGAAAUUCGUGGUGUAGCGGUGAAAUGCUUAGAUAUCACGAAGAACUCCGAUUGCGAAGGCAGUUUACUAAACUGCAACUGACACUGAGGCUCGAAAGUGUGGGUAUCAAACAGGAUUAGAUACCCCAGUAGUC